GAAAACGUGCUAGCUUAUUAAGCACUCUUUCCCUCCCUCCCCUUCUUCUUUCCUCAGUAGUCAUGCUCCAAUAACUUUAGAUUAAGUAGAUUUGUAAAAGUAACUUUAUGCCCCACAGAGCAAAGCCCACAUGUAUUUGCCACUUGUAAAGAGAGUCUAGCAGGAAACAGAGCUGUCUGAGGUAUCGCAACCAGCAAUGGAGCAGGUCAACAGGCAGCUGUAAACGGGGCCCAGAGGUAAGAACAAUGUGCCUUUUGUUACUUUUCAGCUUAUUAUUUGUAUUCCUAUUUCUAUGCCAAUAAUUCAAUGAUAUAAUGCUGGCAGAUUACAAACCAGCCUGUGUAAUUCUUUCAUGUAGAUAGUAAAUUUUUUAAAUGACAAAAGUUGAACCAAUUUGCCAAGCUUUAACCUUACAUUUAAGCUUUUAAUAAGCUGCAAAAAAAUUUAAGUUCUUUUUGAUCUGAAAGUUAUUUUACCUGAAAAAUGAAGUAUUGUCUUCCUUAUUUGUAGGUAACCCUCCACACAGCUAACUCUUGUACAACUGUUUGUACUAUUAAUACAAUUGAAUGUUUUUUUUCUUCCACAAGUUGAUUUCUGACAUUCAUAAAUCCUCUCACGGCUCUCUUAUUCUUCUUAUGCUUUAUUUAUUGAACAUUUUUCCUUUAAAAAUUCUAUUUUUUACACACCAUAAAUAUAAUGUUAUUGAACAUGUAGCAUUUAGGAUUAUUGUUUCAUUUCAUUUCAUUACAUUAUGGUACUUUAAUUUUUAAAAACUGAUUUGCAAUGUAAUGUGCAUGAUCUUAAAAUCUAAAUAAGAAAAUCUAACUUUCCUAAUAAGAGUAGACUGCAUUUAAAAGACUUAAUAGAGCAAAAAAAAAAGAAAGAAAGAAAGAAAAUAAAGAUAAUUCAUAUUAGCAAUUACAAAUCAAACUACUCUGGUUUCAUGAGUCAAGUUCUAAAAUGCCACAAGUCCUAUAAAAUACUCUCUUCUAAUUUGUGCAAGUUUGAGAAGCUGCUUGUGCACAUUAACAAUAUUUAACUGUGUAUUCAAGUAUAGAAACUUAACAGUCUUUCUUGUAGCAUCCUUUGGUUUCUCUAAGUUUUCUAAAAUUACAUUGAAGAUAACAAAUAGAAUUUUAGAACAAACAAUGGCGCUGAAAAGCACCGUUCAGUUACACAUGUGGGUUUUGCAUAGUUUGCCAGUGAAAAAUCAGAAAACUUAACUUACGAAGAUGACAUACAUCACAUAUUCACUGUUUGAGAUUUGCUAAAGGAAACAUCCAGACUCGCAUAUCUGAGCACAUUUAAUUUUACUCUUAAAGGAGAUAGUCAUGGCCUCCAGAAAAGGGAAUCGACAACCUCUCAUUUCUGCAGGAGCUUUUGUUCACAGUGCUAAACGGCAGUGAUAUCUUGCAUGUGCUGUACAGUUCCUGAGACCUACUGACCGUUUAAACCAUCACCACACACUGGUCCUUGACCAUAGUCAUUGUCCUCUUAUAAUGGUUCAGGAAAGCAAAUAUUUAGUGUUAUAAAUUCAGAAAAGUAGGGGUUGAGGAUUUAGCUCAGUGGUAGAGCGCUUGCCUAGGAAGCACAAGGCCCUGGGUUCGGUCCCCAGCUCCGAAAAAAAAAAAAAAGAACCAAAAAAAAAAUGAAAAAAAAUUCAGAAAAGUAGUUGAUAAUGAGAGUUAGACCAUCUAACUAGAGUGUAGAAUAUGUUGUUAGUGAGUCCGAUAACAUGUUAUCUUUAAGUAUUGCAUAUUAACUCAACAAUACUUCUAUCUGAACUUGGUUAUGUUAAUUCAACAAUUGUAUUUCUAAAGUCUAUCAAUAACCACAUUUUUGAAUAUCUAUACUUUUAAUCAUGAGACCUUUUGGUAUCAUUAACUACUGAUUAUUGGGAGUGUGCUAUAUAUUACAUAGCAUCACAGUUCAUAUUGAAUAAGAACCAUGAAAAAAUUAUAGAGUAAGUUGAUCACCCCUUUAACUCAGGGCAGUAAAAGAAGGCCAAGGUUGUAGAGAACAUGCUGUCUUCUUGGCAGGGCAGAUUGGUUGUUGAUGUGAAUUAUUAUGUCUGAUUUAGCAGCUUGCUUCUAGAUUGUGGAAAAUAAGUUUAGAAUUUCUUCUUUGAAAACAAUCUAUUUACGGACAGGAAAUAUGAGCGCUUGACCGGUUGUUUCCAGGAGACAUGUGAACGUUGAAGGGACAUUUGCUCAAUAUUAGCGUUGUGUUUCUUCCUUCAGAAACUCAUUUAAGCAGAGCACUUAGAGUCAGCACAUGAAUCAAAAAUGUUUGAAGUUGAGUUGCAAAGAAGGCUGCAAGUUAUAUAUGUCCGGAAAACAAAUUUUGAAUUUUGAUACAUAAAUGUUUCACAAGAUUACAUUUCUUGACAUAAUUAUAAGAAUGACUGUUGAAACUGCAUGUCUGCUUUAUUACCAAAUUUUAACAAGCCCCAGACGUUAAGAACACAUGGGAGAUAGGUCAAGGACAUGUGAGAUGAUUGGAAGCCUCCUAGAUACUAAGCUCAGAAUAAGUGGGUGUCUCUCUCUCACUCUGGCCAUCCCCAAAUUGUCCACUAUGAAAGAGAGUGACCUGCUUGUCAUGAGUGUUAUCCCUCCUAACCAGUAGCCAAGUGCACUUUUAAAAAAUGAUUUUUCUUGGAAAUACUGAUACUAAUUUUGUAUGUAUAUAUCUAGUUCUAAAAGAAUACCGCACAUUAUGUCUUUCUUUCUUUCUUUCUUUC
ensembl:lncRNA